AUUGAACGCUGGCGGCAGGCCUAAUACAUGCAAGUCGAGCGGAGCGGCUGACGGGCGAGUAAUUCCUAGGAAUCUGCCUGGUAGUGGGGGAUAACGUCCGGAAACGGGCGCUAAGAUCGCAUAAUAUUAGAUGAGCUUAGGUCUGAUUAGCUAGUUGGUGGGGUAAAGGCUUACCAGGGCGACGAGCCGUAACUGUUCUGAGAGGAUGAUCAGUCACACUGGAACUGGGACACGGUCCAGACUCCUACGGAGGGCAGCAGUGGGGAAUAUUGGACAAUGGGCGAAAGCCUGAUCCAGCCAUGCCGCGUGUGUGAAGAAGGUCUUCGGAUUGUAAGUCACUUUAAGUUGGGAGGCGUUACCAACAGAAUAAGCACCGGCUAACUUCGUGCCAGCAGCCGCGGUAAUUC
rnacentral:rRNA from 1 species